AAAGUUGAAAAGUACUUUGAAGAGAGAGUAAACAGUGCGUGAAACCGGUCAGAGGUAAACGGGUGGAGUUGAACUGCAAGCUCUGAGAAUUCAACUGAUGAGUGUGUCUUGAGCUUUGGAUGUUGGGCCCUGGAGUCUGGUUAGCUGCAGGCCUUCACUCCUCGGGGUGGAGGUGCGCGAGGCACUUAUCAAGUGUUGUGCGCUCUGGGUGUUCAUCAAACCACUUGUCAGUGCACUUUCUCAGAGUAGUCACCACGACCGGCACUGCUGUCUGGCUGUUAUGGUUAAACCGGUUUCGCAUUGUCCUUGUGGCUCUGCUUGAUCGGGAAGGCAGGUGGCUCAUGACUUGCUUGUGGGAAUCCUGCGAGCAUUGGGUCAUUGAGUGUAAUCAGCUGACCAUAUCAGUUCUGUGCAGUGUGUCGGAGACGGCGGCUUUUGUGUGUGCGUGCGUGCCAGUCUGGCUGACGAGUCCGAGUUCGGUUAUUAUGUAGCCUGUUCAUGCAGGUCUGGUGAUAAUUUGGAUUCGUUCAGUCGGCGGUUGCGUGCGUGACACUAUUCAUGGGCCAAUAGUCUGUGGUGUAGUGGUAGACUAUCCACCUGACCCGUCUUG
rnacentral:rRNA from 1 species